AUUGAACGCUAGCGGCAUGCCUUACACAUGCAAGUCGAACGGAGUGGCGAACGGGUGAGUAAUGUAUCGGAACGUGCCCGGUAGUGGGGGAUAACUACCCGAAAGCGGAGCUAAUACCGCAUACUAUCAGAGCAGCCUAUAUCGGAUUAGCUAGUUGGUGGGGUAACGGCUUACCAAGGCGACGAUCCGUAACUGGUUUGAGAGGAUGACCAGCCACACUGGGACUGAGACACGGCCCAGACUCAUACGGGAGGCAGCAGUGGGGAAUUUUGGACAAUGGGCGAAACCCUGAUCCAGCCAUCCCGCGUGUGUGAUGAAGGUCUUCGGGUUGUAAAGCACUGUUGGCAGGGAAGCGGUACCUGCAGAAUAAGCACCGGCUAACUACGUGCCAGCAGCCGCGGUAAUAC
rnacentral:rRNA from 1 species